CACCCUACUCUAACAAGGUUUUGAUAUCUGGAGCUCAUAGGUGGGAGACAGCUAAUACAUACUUACAAGACAUUUAUUGCGUAGUCAAACCAUGGAUCCAGAGAAACAAGUCAAUAAGUCGAAUCAAGAUGUGCAUGUGUGGUGGAUGAAUGGUGUAUGGUGAUGAUGGUAAUAAUGGUGAAAAUAGUGGUGAAAGUCUAAUUCUACUUUUGCUCUUUUGAGGGGAUACAUACCUUUCUUGCACUUUGAAGGUUUUUUGAGAGGAAUGAGAUUCUUUAUAUUAUUUUUUUAUCUCUCAGGUUGGUAUCUUGUACCCCUAAUUCUACUGUCGGACACUUGUCCAUUUUUACCUCUCGUCUCACUUUUUCUUUUCUUCGAGGUUUCGGGCACUUGCCCCUUUUUAUUUCCUCGUAUUCACUCUUUU
rnacentral:lncRNA from 1 species